rnacentral:rRNA from 1 species
GGGUUGUGAGGUUAAGCGACUAAGCGUACACGGUGGAUGCCCUGGCAGUCAGAGGCGAUGAAGGACGUGCUAAUCUGCGAUAAGCGUCGGUAAGGUGAUAUGAACCGUUAUAACCGGCGAUUUCCGAAUGGGGAAACCCAGUGUGAUUCGUCACACUAUCAUUAACUGAAUUCAUAGGUUAAUGAGGCGAACCGGGGGAACUGAAACAUCUAAGUACCCCGAGGAAAAGAAAUCAACCGAGAUUCCCCCAGUAGCGGCGAGCGAACGGGGAGGAGCCCAGAGCCUGAAUCAGUGUGUGUGUUAGUGGAAGCGUCUGGAAAGGCGCGCGAUACAGGGUGACAGCCCCGUACACAAAAAUGCACAUGCUGUGAGCUCGAUGAGUAGGGCGGGACACGUGGUAUCCUGUCUGAAUAUGGGGGGACCAUCCUCCAAGGCUAAAUACUCCUGACUGACCGAUAGUGAACCAGUACCGUGAGGGAAAGGCGAAAAGAACCCCGGCGAGGGGAGUGAAAAAGAACCUGAAACCGUGUACGUACAAGCAGUGGGAGCCUCUUUAUGGGGUGACUGCGUACCUUUUGUAUAAUGGGUCAGCGACUUAUAUUCUGUAGCAAGGUUAACCGAAUAGGGGAGCCGAAGGGAAACCGAGUCUUAACUGGGCGUUAAGUUGCAGGGUAUAGACCCGAAACCCGGUGAUCUAGCCAUGGGCAGGUUGAAGGUUGGGUAACACUAACUGGAGGACCGAACCGACUAAUGUUGAAAAAUUAGCGGAUGACUUGUGGCUGGGGGUGAAAGGCCAAUCAAACCGGGAGAUAGCUGGUUCUCCCCGAAAGCUAUUUAGGUAGCGCCUCGUGAAUUCAUCUCCGGGGGUAGAGCACUGUUUCGGCAAGGGGGUCAUCCCGACUUACCAACCCGAUGCAAACUGCGAAUACCGGAGAAUGUUAUCACGGGAGACACACGGCGGGUGCUAACGUCCGUCGUGAAGAGGGAAACAACCCAGACCGCCAGCUAAGGUCCCAAAGUCAUGGUUAAGUGGGAAACGAUGUGGGAAGGCCCAGACAGCCAGGAUGUUGGCUUAGAAGCAGCCAUCAUUUAAAGAAAGCGUAAUAGCUCACUGGUCGAGUCGGCCUGCGCGGAAGAUGUAACGGGGCUAAACCAUG